AUGAUGUCUGUUAGAACUAUGUCGGUAUUUCCCCAAAGAGAAAAGGAUGAUGCAGCACAUCGACGGAAGCUCCCCAACCCUGAAUCAAAGAGUCGACAUUCAGCUAGUAGGUUACAUGAUAUUUUCAAGGGUCUCCCACAGAGAAGGAAAGACCUCAUUUGCACAAAAAUGGGUAAUCUACUUAAUAUUAGCAAAUUUUCAGCUCCAGAGGGUCUCCUAGAAUGGAUCGUUGACCGGAUUGACCCAAAGCUAGAAAAAGGCAAUGAUCUAGAUGAUGAGACCUUCUUCAGGACAUUCUUUCUAGUAGCAUUGGCUACUAAUUUUACACCCGCAACUGGAAAUAUGGUUCCUUUGGAAUAUUUAGGCAGCCUUGAAGUUGCUUCCGAGGUUUUAUACAUGGACCAUCUUGACUUUCCUGAAUCAUCUUUGUCAACGCAUCGCAUAAAUUACUCACUUCCCAGAUCAUCCCAUGUAACCGAUGCCGACUUCAAAUUUGUCAUGCUCGCUGAUAAAAGUAGACUGAGCCUCAACCCAUAUAUUUAUGGCGCACGACCGUUUCGUGCACCCGAGGCAACCCCAUAUGCCGUUGUAGUGCCAAUCUACCAGCAGCAAUCUACUCAACAGCCAUAUGUUCAACAAAAAGAUAAUGAUUCUACCAACCAUCCAGCAGAGCUCCUGCGACGAACCAAUCCACCGGAGAGGAAGAUACGAGGCGGAGGAUUCUUGAUACGUAUGAAGAUGCAAGUUUCAGCUUUCUACCUCCCGGUCAAACUUGGACCCAAGUAUGGUCCGAACCUGCUUCGUCGCCACAUCAGCCACAAUCUGCCGAUGCCGCUACUGCAGUUGGACAAUCCUUAG
rnacentral:rRNA from 1 species